UGCAUGUGUAAGUAUAAAUAUUUGACUUUGAAACUGCGAAUGGCUCAUUAUAUCAGUUAUAGUUUAUUUGAUGAAAAGUACUACUUGGAUAACCGCAGUAAUUCUAGAGCUAAUACAUGACAAAAUCCUCGACUUUGAAGAGGUGUAUUUAUUAGAAUGAAACCAAGAGACUUCGGUCUAUUUGUGAGUAAUAAUAACUAAUCGUAUCGCAUGCUUAGGUAGCGAUAUGUCUUUCAAGUUUCUGCCCUAUCAGCUUUGGAUGGUAGUGUAUUGGACUACCAUGGCAGUAACGGGUAACGAAGAAUUUGGGUUCGAUUUCGGAGAGGGAGCCUGAGAGAUGGCUACCACAUCCAAGGAAGGCAGCAGGCGCGUAAAUUACCCAAUCCUGACAUAGGGAGGUAGUGACAAUAAAUCACAAUGCGGAACUAUUAGUUUUGCAAUUGGAUUGAGAACAAUGUACAAAUGUUAUCGAUAAACAAUUGGAGGGCAAGUCUGGUGCCAGCAGCCGCGGUAAUUCCAGCUCCAAUAGCGUAUAU
rnacentral:rRNA from 1 species